CAGCAGCCGCGGGAAUACGGAGGGAGCUAGCGUUGUUCGGAAUUACUGGGCGUAAAGCGCACGUAGGCGGCCUUGUAAGUCAGAGGUGAAAGCCUGGAGCUCAACUCCAGAACUGCCUUUGAGACUGCAUCGCUUGAAUCCAGGAGAGGUGAGUGGAAUUCCGAGUGUAGAGGUGAAAUUCGUAGAUAUUCGGAAGAACACCAGUGGCGAAGGCGGCUCACUAGACUGGUAUUGACGCUGAGGUGCGAAAACGUGGGGAGCAAACAGGAUUAGAGACCCCGGUAGUCCCUGUCUCUUAUAC
rnacentral:rRNA from 1 species